AAAUUGAAGAGUUUGAUCAUGGCUCAGAUUGAACGCUGGCGGCAGGCCUAACACAUGCAAGUCGAACGGUAACAGGAAUCAGCUUGCUGAUUCGCUGACGAGUGGCGGACGGGUGAGUAAUGUCUGGGAAACUGCCUGAUGGAGGGGGAUAACUACUGGAAACGGUAGCUAAUACCGCAUAAUGUCGCAAGACCAAAGAGGGGGACCUUCGGGCCUCUUGCCAUCGGAUGUGCCCAGAUGGGAUUAGCUUGUUGGUGGGGUAACGGCUCACCAAGGCGACGAUCCCUAGCUGGUCUGAGAGGAUGACCAGCCACACUGGAACUGAGACACGGUCCAGACUCCUACGGGAGGCAGCAGUGGGGAAUAUUGCACAAUGGGCGCAAGCCUGAUGCAGCCAUGCCGCGUGUAUGAAGAAGGCCUUCGGGUUGUAAAGUACUUUCAGCGGGGAGGAAGGGAGUAAAGUUAAUACCUUUGCUCAUUGACGUUACCCGCAGAAGAAGCACCGGCUAACUCCGUGCCAGCAGCCGCGGUAAUACGGAGGGUGCAAGCGUUAAUCGGAAUUACUGGGCGUAAAGCGCACGCAGGCGGUUUGUUAAGUCAGAUGUGAAAUCCCCGGGCUCAACCUGGGAACUGCAUCUGAUACUGGCAAGCUUGAGUCUCGUAGAGGGGGGUAGAAUUCCAGGUGUAGCGGUGAAAUGCGUAGAGAUCUGGAGGAAUACCGGUGGCGAAGGCGGCCCCCUGGACGAAGACUGACGCUCAGGUGCGAAAGCGUGGGGAGCAAACAGGAUUAGAUACCCUGGUAGUCCACGCCGUAAACGAUGUCGACUUGGAGGUUGUGCCCUUGAGGCGUGGCUUCCGGAGCUAACGCGUUAAGUCGACCGCCUGGGGAGUACGGCCGCAAGGUUAAAACUCAAAUGAAUUGACGGGGGCCCGCACAAGCGGUGGAGCAUGUGGUUUAAUUCGAUGCAACGCGAAGAACCUUACCUGGUCUUGACAUCCACGGAAGUUUUCAGAGAUGAGAAUGUGCCUUCGGGAACCGUGAGACAGGUGCUGCAUGGCUGUCGUCAGCUCGUGUUGUGAAAUGUUGGGUUAAGUCCCGCAACGAGCGCAACCCUUAUCCUUUGUUGCCAGCGGUCCGGCCGGGAACUCAAAGGAGACUGCCAGUGAUAAACUGGAGGAAGGUGGGGACGACGUCAAGUCAUCAUGGCCCUUACGACCAGGGCUACACACGUGCUACAAUGGCGCAUACAAAGAGAAGCGACCUCGCGAGAGCAAGCGGACCUCAUAAAGUGCGUCGUAGUCCGGAUUGGAGUCUGCAACUCGACUCCAUGAAGUCGGAAUCGCUAGUAAUCGUGGAUCAGAAUGCCACGGUGAAUACGUUCCCGGGCCUUGUACACACCGCCCGUCACACCAUGGGAGUGGGUUGCAAAAGAAGUAGGUAGCUUAACCUUCGGGAGGGCGCUUACCACUUUGUGAUUCAUGACUGGGGUGAAGUCGUAACAAGGUAACCGUAGGGGAACCUGCGGUUGGAUCACCUCCUUA
rnacentral:rRNA from 3 species